AGUGUAGGAGUUAUUGUGAUGAUUAAUUACCUCUAUUUAUUGGUAAUAACGGUGAUAUAGGCGUAUGCCUCGUGACAAGUUUUGAUGUGAUUGUGUAUGUGAUAUUGCAUUCAUCUAGUCACAUACAUUUGGAUUUUUGUGACGGUCUGGAUUGGAAAACAGUGACGAAGGCUUAUGCCUGUUUGAUGUGAAUUGUUGUGACUUGAAUUGGAAGUCGAAUAUAAUCAUGCGAAGUAUUGUGACUUGUAAUCGUAAAUUGUAUCGUUUUUUUGAGUAUAUUAUUGUGUAGAGAAUUGUUACGUAUAUGCCGCGAUGUGGUAAUUUUGAUGAUCUAACGCUGAUAUAUUAUUUAUCAUUAUCUUAUUUAUAUUGAUAGAUAUCUCACCCCUUUCUUGUUGAUCGUUGCUUUUAUACUGGUAACGUACAGGUGACUCACAGUGAGUGAAGAUUUAAUUGUUGUGAUAGUUCGAGUCGGUGAUGUCGUUCUGAUACGUAGCACUCGGGGAGAUGAACUAUAAUUGUUUAGUUGUUGCAUUUGUUUUUGGAUUGCUAAAUUUUAAGUUAAAUUUUAAGAAGUACUAUGAUGUUUUCAAGUUGUUUUAUUUGAACAAGAUGAUAUGUGAAUUAAAAUUGAAUAUAGUGAUUCCGAUGCGUAAUUAAUAUAAAGAGUUUGGUUUUAAAAAUUAAAGUAUGUUGUUAUCGGUUCAUCCGAUUGUGAAGUGUUAUGUAUCUAUUGAAUUAAAAUGAACGGUUUGUUUUAAGAAGUGUGAUUUAAUGUGAAGCGUGACAUCCCGUUGGUUUGUUAUAAAUUUUAUAACUUUGAUUAUGAUUAUGAUUAUAAUUACCUGGUAAAAAUGGGGUGUUACAGAGACUUUACUCACAAAAUUGUCAUUGUAUUUUUUAUUUACACUUGUUUUUAUUCAAAUGAGUGAAAAUCAUCUCAUUCUUUUUUUUAUUUUGCAACAGUGUAACUAUGUUUUCGCACAAAUUGUAAAUAUUGAUAUUGAUGUUAUUAUUUUAUUAUUAGUAAAAUAACCCCUUCCUAUUAUUAGAGGUUGAAAAGUUAAUUGAAAACUAAGAUUCAAAUUUUAAGUUAACAUUUUACUAAAUGCAACAUAUUGAUCAUCUUAAGAGACACUUUAAAAUAAUUAUAAUUUUACAUGAGGAUUUUUUCACAACUCCUAAAGAGCUAAUUUUUUUAAUUUUUUUUAGAACAUGUAUUUUAUACAUUAUAUAAGAGUCACGUAAUGUUAUAUUUUUAGCAUGCAAAGAGAGAAAAAUAUGGCUAAAAUCAAGUUUGUGUAUGUUGUAGUUUUACUUCUUUUUCUUUUUCUUGUUCCAGAGAAAAUUGACGCUGCCCCGGAGGAAAGAAGUUGUGUUACUGAUGAUGACUGUCCAAGAAGAACUAUCUGCAAAUACGAGUGCAUUAAAAACAAAUGCAAUCAUACUAGAGAGAUGGAAUGUUUUUGAAUAAAUAUAUGGCAUAACAGGUUACUUUUACAAGGAAGAAUAAAUUCUUGUACUAGCAAAAAAAAUUAUUUUCAAUAUAUUUUUUGCUAGAAAAUUUCUUAA